UUUAUAUGGAGAGCUACAACCUGGCUCAGGAUGAACGCUGGCGGCGUGCCUAAUACAUGCUCGUCGAGCGGACAGAC
rnacentral:rRNA from 1 species